rnacentral:rRNA from 1 species
UACGUAGGGUGCAAGCGUUGUCCGGAAUUAUUGGGCGUAAAGAGCUCGUAGGCGGUUUGUCGCGUCUGCUGUGAAAAUCCGGGGCUCAACCCCGGACUUGCAGUGGGUACGGGCAGACUAGAGUGUGGUAGGGGGAGACUGGAAUUCCUGGUGUAGCGGUGAAAUGCGCAGAUAUCAGGAGGAACACCGAUGGCGAAGGCAGGUCUCUGGGCCACUACUGACGCUGAGAAGCGAAAGCAUGGGGGAGCGAACAGG